GAUGAAGGCUUUCGGGUCGUAAAGUUCUGUUGUAAGGGAAGAACAAGUGCCGCAGGCAAUGGCGGCACCUUGACGGUACCUUGCGAGAAAGCCACGGCUAACUACGUGCCAGCAGCCGCGGUAAUACGUAGGUGGCAAGCGUUGUCCGGAAUUAUUGGGCGUAAAGCGCGCGCAGGCGGCCUCUUAAGUCUGAUGUGAAAGCCCCCGGCUCAACCGGGGAGGGCCAUUGGAAACUGGGAGGCUUGAGUAUAGGAGAGAAGAGUGGAAUUCCACGUGUAGCGGUGAAAUGCGUAGAGAUGUGGAGGAACACCAGUGGCGAAGGCGACUCUUUGGCCUAUAACUGACGCUGAGGCGCGAAAGCGUGGGGAGCAAACAGGAUUAGAUACCCCGGUA
rnacentral:rRNA from 1 species